rnacentral:misc_RNA from 1 species
UUUCCGUAGGUGAACCUGCGGAAGGAUCAUUACAGAGUAUCAUGCCCUCACGGGUAGAUCUCCCACCCUUGUGUAUUUAUACCAUGUUGCUUUGGCGAGCCGCACACUUGUGUGCCUGGGGCCUUUGGGCUUCGGCGUGCUCGCCAGAAACAAAACUCUAGAUUAUUUUUGUCGUCUGAGUACUAUAUUAAUAGUUAAAACUUUCAACAACGGAUCUCUUGGUUCUGGCAUCGAUGAAGAACGCAGC